rnacentral:rRNA from 1 species
CUACGGGGGGCAGCAGUGGGGAAUAUUGCGCAAUGGGCGAAAGCCUGACGCAGCAACGCCGUGUGAGGGAUGAAGGCUUUCGGGUCGUAAACUUCUGUCGGAAGGGAAGAACGGGCAUUGGUCUAAUAGGCCUUUGUUUUGACGGUACCUUUAGAGGAAGCACCGGCUAACUCCGUGCCAGCAGCCGCGGUAAUACGGAGGGUGCAAGCGUUAUUCGGAAUUACUGGGCGUAAAGCGCACGUAGGCCGUUUUGUAAGUCAGGGGUGAAAUCCCACGGCUCAACCGUGGAACUGCCUUUGAAACUGCAGGACUUGAAUCCUGGAGAGGGUGGCGGAAUUCCUGGUGUAGGAGUGAAAUCCGUAGAUAUCAGGAGGAACACCGGUGGCGAAGGCGGCCACCUGGACAGGUAUUGACGCUGAGGUGCGAAAGUGUGGGGAGCAAACAGGAUUAGAUACCCUUGUAGUC